CGCGAGCCACAAGGAGUGCACCAACGUACUGCAUCUAUUUUACAAUUUUUUACAUUUUUCUUCUGACAUAUUCAAGAACAAACUGAAACACCAAAGAAAACUUCCACACGCAUUGUAGCACCGGGGCAGCCGAACAACAUCGAGAAGUGGGGCGAACUGCAAUUCAAAAGCGAGCAGACAACCUUAUGUUUAGUGAGCAGACAACCAUGUGAGCUCCAUCGAGCUUUUUCCUACUCAUCCAACAAUAGCAUUAAGUUAGCAGACAACCUUAUGUUUAGUGACAAACGGCCUCCCAAAAUGUAAAACAAGUGCAUCCAUGCAAAAAAGUAAAGAACUGCACACACAAAUGAAUCAACUGAGCCGCAUUGGAGUGCCAUCCACACUGCACCCGAUGGGGCAUUGGUGGAUUGCGGUAUUGCCAACAUGUCUUUCUGGGCUUCCGCUGCCACUGAACUUCCAACACCACCGAGCACAAGGAAGAUGAGCGAGGGAGUCUCAUGGGACAGCAUGAUCGACCUAAAGAACUUCACAGUAAAAUAAAAGGAGCCGUAAGUCAUGCCCCACCGAACUUCAUGACCUCGUUGUUGUGGUAGUGUUCGUAGUGCUGGCGACCUUGCCGGAAUACUCGAGGCGGAUAAGGAUCAUAGCGGUGGCUGCAAUGGAGGACAACCUUGGCAAACCAGCCUGCACCACGCCCGAUCUUUCUUCCCUCCAUCGGAUCUGCAUCUUUGCAAGCACUUAGAUGGUGAGGUAAAGGAGCUCCGGCGUGCCAACCAGUGUAGAGCGGGGCAGUGUGGGGGUGAACGGCUGGUGGUAGUGAGGUGGGACUUAGGACGCACAAGCCAUAUCAAGUGGUGGAGGCAGACCAGCAGGUUCCCGGGCUGGUGGACCAUCACUGAACCACCUCACUCGUGCCGCCGAGCUACAUGAUGACGGUCGCUGGACUUGAGCGGAUGAGAUGGAUGUCGCGCGGGAGGAGUUGGAUUCAGGGCGGAGAUGCUCGCUAGAAGCCUCACCGGUGUGAGUGAUGGAGGUCACCUUUACAUCGAGGGGAGGGUCGCCGGUGAGUCGCCACUAUCGGGAGGGAAAGGAUCGCUGGUGAGUCACCACUGUCCGGAGGUGAGGUGAGGUGGAAGAGGUGUCCGGUGUUGCUGGUGGCGCGCUGGCCCCACAGCAAGGAGGAAGAUGGGUGGGUGAAGGAGGUGUCCUCGGCAAGGUGAGCACGUGUG
rnacentral:lncRNA from 1 species